rnacentral:lncRNA from 1 species
UUCCAACAAGUGGUGGGCUCCACCUUAUUAUUUACAACACUCCCCCUUGGAGACCACAAAUGAUACGGAAUAUGUCUCGUUAAAAACCUUGCCAGUAAAAACCCAGUGGGACAAAAAACUGGUCAAAGGGAAAAAGAGUACAUAACCAUGUGUAACAUAAAAUUCUGUGUAUAUUGACGCGCGUGCGACACUGCCUCGUUAAAACCUUGCCAGGAAAAACCCAGUGGGAUAAAAUCCUGGACGAAGGAAAAAGAGUAUAGUGUUUGAA